AACUUUCAACAACGGAUCUCUUGGCUCUCGCAUCGAUGAAGAACGCAGCGAAAUGCGAUAAGUAAUGUGAAUUGCAGAAUUCAGUGAAUCAUCGAAUUUUUGAACGCACCUUGCGCCCUUUGGUAUUCCGAAGGGCAUGCCUGUUUGAGUGUCA
rnacentral:rRNA from 1 species